UUCCUUGACUAUUUGUCGUCAAACCUCCUCAAUGAAGUUAUACUCCGUUGAAUAAAAGUUUCGAAGUCUAUAUGAAGGCUUCUUCCAUUAAAUCGUUCAAAACACAUAUAGUACGGAUGCCCAGGAUCCUGGAGCAGUCGUAGGAGACUUGUUUCUUUUCCUUCUUUAGAAAGAAAACAACUAUGUCUAUCCUUCGAUUUAUUCUUGAAGAAGCUCGAACUCGCCAUCUUAUAACGAAACCAAUUUUGCUUUGCGUUUGAAAAAGGGUUCCGUGGAUUAGUGUCAUUGACGUCCUCCCUGUACCUGCCGUACCCUAAGAGUCUUCUGUUAAGUAUUCAUUUCGUAAUCUUAUUCGGGAUCCUCACCGACUUUUUUACCUUUUUAUUUGGGAUUGCCUCCAGUUUGAUCAUUGAGGGAGUAAAGGGUCGGAAUCUUAAAGCAUUUUCUUACCUAUAGUUGUAUAGAAUAUUAUGUAUUAUCUAAAAAAUAAGAACCCAUAAAUUAUUUACUUUAUCCAAGGGCUAUUUUGCUAGUAUAUUAUGUUACAUUUGUACAAUAGACAAGUAGUUUAAUUUCCAUUAAUGCCUAGGGCAGGGAUGUAUGUAUUAUUGACAAAAACAACGGAAGAGAUCAAAUAUUUUAUUUUAAAUAUAUAAUAGGUAUGUUAUAUACCAUAAUAUUCAAGUUCUGUUCAAAAAGUAAGGUAACUUUUCAUAUUUUGCGGGCAAUGUAUAUUUGGUAUGCUGGAAUUAUUUAUUUUUAUAUGUAAUACACUCACCGCGAACAAAUAUUUACUGUUUCAGGUAUUUAAUAUAUUUGUGAGAUGCAUAAUGGUUUGAAGUAUUUUACGUGUUCGGUGAUUUUUUGGUCUGGAAAAUGCUAAUGACGGGCCUCGCUCUGGACGCCCAAGUCAGUCAACAACAAAUGAAACGUUGAAGCAGUUAACAAAAUUGUUUUUGAAAACCGCCGAAUCACUAUCAGACAAAUUGCUUAAGAUAUUGACAUAUCAGUGGACUCGUGCAAUAAAUUUUUUUCGAACGUUUCGAGUUUUGAGACGACUGUCAGCAGAGUUGGUUCCAAAACUACUUAAGUUUUACCAAAUGAAUAGUUACAUUUUUUGGGCAAAACCAGUACCACAAUCAGCCACUCGAUUCACCGGAUUUGCCCCAAUGUUACUUUUUCUUGUUCCCAAAACUGAAGUGACCUAUAAAAGGAUGAAGAUUUGCAACGAUUGAGAAGAUAAAGACUGCAUCGCUGGAAGAGCUCAAAGCUACACCGAAAAGUGUUUAUGAAAUUUUUUAUUAGAAUUUGAAAAAGGGUUGGCACAAGUGUAUUAUAUCUGAGAGAGGCACAACAUAAAUAUUAAUGAAUAAAUAAAUAUUUUUUCCAAGAAA
rnacentral:lncRNA from 1 species